UACGUAGGCCACAAGCGUUAUCCGGAAUUAUUGGGCGUAAAGAGAUGCGUAGGUGUCUAGAUUUAGUCUUUGAUUAAAUGCAUGGGCAUAACUCAUGUAAGGUUGAAGAAACGGUUUAGAUAGAGGGAGACAGGGGAAGAUGGAACUUCUGGUGGAGUAGUGAAAUGCGUUGAUAUCAGAAGGAACACCAAAGGCGAAGGCAAUCUUCUAGGUCUUUCCUGACACUAAGGCUCGAAAGCGUGGGGAGCAAAACGGAUUAGAUACCCGUGUAGUCCACGCCGUAAACAAUGGAUGCUAGAUAUUUGUAUCCGUAUGAGUUUACUCGUAUUGAUAUGAGUGUCGCAGCUAACGCAGUAAGCAUCCCGCCUGGGGAGUACGGCCGCAAGGCUAAAACUCAAAGGAAUUGAUGGGGACCCGCACAAGCAGUGGAUCGCGUGGUUUAAUUCGAUGAUAAACGAAAAACCUUACCAAGGUUUGACAUGUUAGAGAAUUCUAACGAAAGUUAGAAGUGCCGCAAGGAGCUCUAUCACAGGUGCUGCAUGACUGUCGUCAGCUCGUGUCGUGAGAUGUUGGGUUAAGUUCCGCAACGAGCGCAACCUUUAUCUGAUGUUAUAUAUUUCUUCGGAAACUGCAUCGUUACAACGAUGAGGAAGGUGAAGAUGACGUCUAGUCCCCAUAGCCCUUAUGUCUUGGGCAACACACGCGAUACAAUGGGAAGAACAAUGAGUUGCAACACUGUAAAGUGAAGCUAAUCUCUUAAAUCUUUCCUCAGUUCAGAUUGAGGGCUGCAAUUCGCCCUCAUGAAGUCGGAAUUGCUAGUAAUCGCAGAUCAGCAUGCUGCGGUGAAUACGUUCUCGGGUCU
rnacentral:rRNA from 1 species